rnacentral:rRNA from 1 species
GACGAACCGUGCGAACGUUGUUCGGAAUCACUGGGCUUAAAGGGCGCGUAGGCGGGCUAGCAAGUCAGGGGUGAAAGCCCACGGCUCAACCGUGGAAGUGCCUUUGAUACUGCCAGCCUGGAGGGAGGUAGGGGCGUGCGGAACUUCCGGUGGAGCGGUGAAAUGCGUAGAUAUGCCAUAGAACACCAAUUGCGAAGGCAGCUGGCUAGACCUGGAUUGACGCUGAGGCACGAAAGCGUGGGGAGCGAACAGG